CUGAGAAGAGGCUCCUCUGGCUACAACUGAAGCCUGAGCAGAGGAGAUGAGCACCCACCUACCUGCCCUUGUCCAGUGCAUAGAGAAAAGAAGGGGUUUGGGGAGGAAACAUAGCCCAACCAUUAAACUGUGGAGAAGGAAGGUGGAGAGUGCCUGUAUAUGGAAAGAAGAAAAGCUAACUUCAUGGCUUUCUUGUAUUAACUGAGGCUUCCAGUUUAUAAAUGGAGAAAGAAUGAUGGAACCAGAUCAUUAUCAUUUUGCAACAGCUGAUAAAAUAGUGGGCACAGACAACAACAGUUAAUGGCUACUGACAUCACAAAGAGACUAUCAGACAUUAUAGGCUUCCUUUUGGAAUA